CACGUAGGGCGCAAGCGUUGUCCGGAAUUAUUGGGCGUAAAGAGCUCGUAGGCGGUCUGUUGCGUCCGCUGUGAAAACUCGGGGCUUAACCCCGAGCCUGCAGUGGAUACGGGCAGACUAGAGGUAGGUAGGGGAGAAUGGAAUUCCCGGUGUAGCGGUGAAAUGCGCAGAUAUCGGGAGGAACACCGGUGGCGAAGGCGGCUACCUGGACCAGCACUGACACUGAGGCACGAAAGCGUGGGGAGCAAACAGG
rnacentral:rRNA from 1 species